AUCGCUUCUCGGCCUUUUGGCUAAGAUCAAGUGUAGACAGUAAUAUAAAUCCACAAACAAAUAAACAAAGAAUUCUAGCAAAGGUAAUUUACUUUUAGGUAAGUAAUGAUAAAAGAUGGAAUAAUUACACAUUAGUUUUUCCAUUUUCCUUCAU
rnacentral:snRNA from 1 species